rnacentral:snoRNA from 1 species
UAACCAUGGUGGGGGCAAAGAGUUUGCAAUUCUUUGUAUUUUUCCCACUCUUGAUAUAAAGUUUCAUUAUCCUUUUGGAUAAAAGAAGAAAUUUUUUUUUAAAGCAG